AAAUAAUAAAACACUCUCAUAAAAUUAAAAAAAUCACUAUCGCAGGUAGUCUUCAGUCUCUCUCUCACUCUUUACUCUCCAUCUCUUUCCCUCCAUGGUGACCAGCUAGCAAUAAAGGUGAAUAGCGACCAAAGAACACUUCUCUCUCACUCUCCUCUUCAGGUUCUCCCACUAUUCUCUCAUCGGAUUCUCUUUUCGGCUCUUCAUGAUUUCAAAUUAGGGUUACAGAAAUUGGGGCUUUUUCCGAUUAAGCAUUCUACAGGACUUAGCAAAGGCUUUCAUUGAGGUACUUUGUAAUGAAAAAGUGAUGAAACAAUCAUUUAAUAUAUCUGGGAACAAGUAUGUUACAUUUUAUGGAUUAGCAAGAGCAUGUGCCAAGGAUGGGGGAUUCCCUGAGCCCGAACUUGUUCAUACAAUUCCAAAGAAUUCAGUUUUGGUAAAAAGAAAGCUUUUCUCUAAUCAGUGACCUGUAGUUCUUCACCUGUGGUUGAAAAAUUGAAGAGUGUGCUUGGAAUAUAUAAUCCCAGACUAUGGUCUGGUAGAAGGUUUGACAAGGUUCGACAUUUAUGCUCAUGAAAUGUAUUCAUUAACUUGUUUUUGCAUUCCUUGUACCAUAUGAUUUGAAUUGUAAAUGGAGACUUAAAUUAUCUAAUAUUACUCUACAGUUAAGUGAUGAAAUCUAAAUUUUAGAUCUUUGUGAAUUA